rnacentral:rRNA from 1 species
UGCCAGCCGCCGCGGUAACACGGGGGGCGCAAGCGUUAUUCGGAAUUAUUGGGCGUAAAGGGCGCGCAGGCGGUCUUGUCCGUCAGGUGUGAAAGCUCGGGGCUCAACCCCGGAAGUGCACUUGAAACAGCAAGACUUGAAUACGGUAGAGGAGAGAGGAAUUCCUGGUGUAGAGGUGAAAUUCGUAGAUAUCAGGAGGAACACCGAUGGCGAAGGCGGUUCCCUGGACCACAACUGACGCUGAGGCGCGAAGGCGUGGGUAGCGAACAGGAUUAGAU